AACGAACGCUGGCGGCAGGCUUAACACAUGCAAGUCGAGCGGGCGUAGCAAUACGUCAGCGGCAGACGGGUGAGUAACGCGUGGGAACAUACCUUUUGGUUCGGAACAACACAGGGAAACUUGUGCUAAUACCGGAUAAGCCCUUACGGGGAAAAUUUAUCGCCGAAAGAUUGGCCCGCGUCUGAUUAGCUAGUUGGUGAGGUAACGGCUCACCAAGGCGACGAUCAGUAGCUGGUCNGAGAGGAUGAUCAGCCACAUUGGGACUGAGACACGGCCCAAACUCCUACGGGAGGCAGCAGUGGGGAAUAUUGGACAAUGGGCGAAAGCCUGAUCCAGCCAUGCCGCGUGAGUGAUGAAGGCCCUAGGGUUGUAAAGCUCUUUUGUGCGGGAAGAUAAUGACGGUACCGCAAGAAUAAGCCCCCGGCUAACUUCGUGCCAGCCGCCG
rnacentral:rRNA from 1 species